CCGCGGUAAUACGUAGGGAGCAAGCGUUGUUCGGAUUUACUGGGCGUAAAGGGUGUGUAGGUUGCUUGGUAAGUCAGUUGUGAAAUCCUUACUGCUCAACAGAAGAAUUGCAAUUGAUACUACCAGGCUAGAGUUCGGUAGAGGAGAGCGGAAUUCUCGGUGUAGCGGUGAAAUGCGUAGAUAUCGAGAAGAACACCAGUGGCGUAGGCGGCUCUCUAGCUCGAUACUGACACUGAAACACGAAAGCGUGGGUAGCGAACGGGAUUAGAUACCCCGGUAGUCCACGCCGUAAACGAUGGGUACUAGGUGCAGGUGGUAUCGAUCCCUUCUGUGCCGAAGCAAACGCGUUAAGUACCCCGCCUGGGGAGUACGGCCGCAAGGCUAAAACUCAAAGGAAUAGACGGGGGCCCGCACAAGCGGUGGAGCAUGUGGUUUAAUACGACGCAACGCGUAGAACCUUACCAGGGCUUGACAUGCUGGUGGUACUGGCUCCGAAAGGAGACAGGACCCUUCGGGGAGCCAACACAGAUGUUGCACGGCUGUCGUCAGCUCGUGUCGUGAGAUGUUGGGUUAAGUCCCGCAACGAGCGCAACCCUUGUCCUUAGUUGCCAGCAGGUAAUGCUGGGGACUCUAAGGAGACUGCCUGUGAUAAGCAGGAGGAAGGUGAGGAUGACGUCAAGUCAUUGUGGCUCUUACGCCCUGGGCUACACACGUGCUACAAUGGUCGAUACAAUGGGUAGCAAUGCCGCGAGGUGGAGCCAAUCCCCAAAAGUCGGCCUCAGUUCGGAUUGGAGUCUGCAACUCGACUCCAUGAAGUCGGAAUCGCUAGUAAUGGCGCAUCAGCUACGGCGCCGUGAAUACGUCCCGGGCC
rnacentral:rRNA from 1 species